rnacentral:rRNA from 1 species
ACGGGGUGCAGCAGGCGCGAAAACUUUACAAUGCGGGAAACCGUGAUAAGGGAAUCUCGAGUGCCAGCAUAUAAUGUUGGCUGUCCAGAUGCCCAAAAAGCAUCUGUUAGCAAGGGCCGGGCAAGACCGGUGCCAGCCGCCGCGGUAACACCGGCGGCCCAAGUGGUAACCGCUUUUAUUGGGUCUAAAGGGUCUGUAGCCGGCCAUGUAAGUCCCUUGGGAAAUCUGGCAGCUCAACUGUCAGGCUGCUAGGGGAUACUGCUUGGCUUGGGACCGGGAGAGGUGAGAGGUACCUUGAGGGUAGGGGUGAAAUCUUGUGAUCCUCGGGGGACCACCAGUGGCGAAGGCGUCUCACCAGAACGGGUCCGACGGUAAGGAACGAAAGCUAGGGGCACGAACCGGAUUAGAUACCCGGGUAGUCCUAGCCGUAAACGAUGCUCGCUAGGUGUCAGUCACGGUGCGACCGUGAUUGGUGCCGUAGGGAAGCCGUGAAGCGAGCCACCUGGGAAGUACGGCCGCAAGGCUGAAACUUAAAGGAAUUGGCGGGGGAGCA